GUUCAGGCUGGAGGCAGGAUCCUGGCGGUGUGAGUGGGGUGCCCCUGUGGAGCAAGGUGAGCUGCAUGUUACCUGUGAGGUGGGUGGUGCCCGGGGCCGGAGGCAGUGGCUGUGUGGGUGAUGAUGUGCUUUUUUUUACAGGGUGGAAGGUGCGUGGCAGGUCCUGUCCCGGAGGAGUGGAGUUAAGGGUCCUGGUGUGGCUGUUUUCCUGCAUGGAAGAUGGAGAUCCUGGGAGCUGCGAUGAGGAGGAGCAGAGCCAGCAGCUGAAUUUCUGCACGGCAGCCUUUCUCGAUUGCAGUAGGGCUUCCCUGGCUUGAAGAUGGGUGUGCUGUCCUGAGGGAGGAGCAGUGUUGGCUGUCUUACAGUGACCUUCCUGCUUUCCUUUAGAAGAGUCCACUAAGAACUGUAUCGGGUUUUUCAGUAGGUAACUCAGCAAAAAUGCCAAAUAUGUUGUCCUGUUUCCCUUUAUACAAAAGAUGUGGUACUUUGCUGGGGUUGCGCCUUUGUGUUCAAUGUUUGUAUGCAGUAUAUUGUAUCCUCCUGUGGGAGUCUGCCAUUAUUAACUGCACUGUUAAUAAC
rnacentral:lncRNA from 7 species